UGCAGUUGACGUGAAACCACUUCGGUGGUGGAAAGUAGCGCACGGGUGAGUAACGCGUGGGAAUUUACACUUCAGUACGGAACAACAGUUGGAAACGACUGCUAAUACCGUAUAAUGACUCCGGUCCAAAGAUUUAUCGCUGAAGGAUAAGCCCGCGUCUGAUUAGCUAGUUGGUAAGGUAAGAGCUUACCAAGGCGACGAUCAGUAGCUGGUUUGAGAGGAUGACCAGCCACACUGGAACUGAGACACGGUCCAGACUCCUACGGGAGGCAGCAGUGAGGAAUAUUGGACAAUGGGCGAAAGCCUGAUCCAGCCAUGCCGCGUGAGUGAAGAAGGCCUUCGGGUUGUAAAGCUCUUUCAAUCGUGAAGAUAAUGACGGUAGCGAUAGAAGAAGCUCCGGCUAACUCAGUGCCAGCAGCCGCGGUAAUACUGGGGGAGCGAGCGUUGUUCGGAAUCACUGGGCGUAAAGCGUGCGCAGGCGGAUUGGAAAGUCAGAAGUGAAAGCCCAGGGCUCAACCCUGGAACUGCUUUUGAAACUUCCUUUCUAGAGUAUGGUAGAGGUUGGGAGAAUUCCUAGUGUAGAGGUGAAAUUCGUAGAUAUUAGGAGGAAUACCAGUGGCGUAGGC
rnacentral:rRNA from 1 species